rnacentral:ncRNA from 2 species
CACUAUCUUGUGGCUGUCGGUUCUGCGGACUUGCUCGUCGCGGAUCAAAAGGGAAGUCGGUGCGGCCGUCGAGGCCAAUUCCGACGCUGCCCCGCAGCGGUAACUGGGAACGAAUCCGCCACAUCAGCACUGGGCCAGCGCCCGGGAAGCGGCGGAGGAGGAGAAGGUCUGGCCUUCAUGCCCAUGAGUCCGAAGACCUGCCGACAGCCGCGCGCACGC